GGAUUUUGAUUCUGUGUUUAUGUUUAUGUGUUCCACCAAAAUAUUGAUGCUGGUUAACAAUUUGCUUGAACUUCUAUUUCAGUUUGAAAUCCAGGAAAACCAUGAGUGGAAAUUUUCAAACUAUAAGGAAGAGUGUCCUGAUAUCUGCUCCAAUCCUGCUUACAAUUUGCUAUCUGCCAGAUUCCCAAGGAAAGUGCUAGAUGCGGGCGUACAGAUGUGUGUAGCAGUACAACAUGUAUUCAUAAGGAAUUAUUGGCUCAUGUCAAUAAAACCCAAGUGUGACAAGUAUCAGGCUUCUGAAACAUGUAGAUCAAAAAAAACAGUGGAAUCUGCACAGCGAUCCCUAUCUAGGCACUAACAGUGAGACUGAAGCACAGUGAACAGGAAGAGUCCCAUGGAGUCCAGAUAGAUUUGUUUCACCCUUGAGGCACUAAAACUGCAGCAUGCUUCAUGCUCUAAAACUGCAGCAAGCUUCAUACACAGAGGAACAUCAACUUCAUGGGGUGUACAAAUCCACUAAAUCUCCUACCACAGAGGGGCCAGGAGACUGGGAAAAUGUGGGGCAGAGAUGCUCAGUGCUGGUUAGAUAUGAUGCAGCUCAGGCUGGUUGCAGAACCAUUACAAUCACAUAUAUCCUGAGUACCUGUAUGUAGCAUGAAGCUGGAAAUCAGACCA
rnacentral:lncRNA from 1 species